rnacentral:rRNA from 1 species
GGGGAGUGGCAGACGGGUGAGUAACGCGUGGGAACAUACCCUUUCCUGCGGAAUAGCUCCGGGAAACUGGAAUUAAUACCGCAUACGCCCUACGGGGGAAAGAUUUAUCGGGGAAGGAUUGGCCCGCGUUGGAUUAGCUAGUUGGUGGGGUAAAGGCCUACCAAGGCGACGAUCCAUAGCUGGUCUGAGAGGAUGAUCAGCCACAUUGGGACUGAGACACGGCCCAAACUCCUACGGGAGGCAGCAGUGGGGAAUAUUGGACAAUGGGCGCAAGCCUGAUCCAGCCAUGCCGCGUGAGUGAUGAAGGCCUUAGGGUUGUAAAGCUCUUUCACCGAUGAAGAUAAUGACGGUAGUCGGAGAAGAAGCCCCGGCUAACUUCGUGCCAGCAGCCGCGGUAAUACGAAGGGGGCUAGCGUUGUUCGGAAUUACUGGGCGUAAAGCGCACGUAGGCGGAUAUUUAAGUCAGGGGUGAAAUCGCGCAGCUCAACUGCGGAACUGCCUUUGAUACUGGGUAUCUUGAGUAUGGAAGAGGUAAGUGGAAUUCCGAGUGUAGAGGUGAAAUUCGUAGAUAUUCGGAGGAACACCAGUGGCGAAGGCGGCUUACUGCUCCAUUACUGACGCUGAGGUGCGAAAGCGUGGGGA